GACGGAGGGGGCAAGCGUUAUUCGGAAUUAUUGGGCGUAAAGGGCGCGUAGGCGGCUAGAUGUGUCAAAGGUGAAAUCCCUCGGCUCAACUGAGGAACUGCCUUUGAAACUGUCUGGCUUGAGGCCGGGAGAGGGUAGCGGAAUUCCCAGUGUAGCGGUGAAAUGCGUAGAUAUUGGGAGGAACACCAGUGGCGAAGGCGGCUACCUGGACCGGUUCUGACGCUGAGGCGCGAAAGCGUGGGUAGCAAACAGG
rnacentral:rRNA from 1 species